rnacentral:rRNA from 1 species
GGGUUGUGAGGUUAAGCGACUAAGCGUACACGGUGGAUGCCCUGGCAGUCAGAGGCGAUGAAGGACGUGCUAAUCUGCGAUAAGCGUCGGUAAGGUGAUAUGAACCGUUAUAACCGGCGAUUUCCGAAUGGGGAAACCCAGUGUGAUUCGUCACACUAUCAUUAACUGAAUCCAUAGGUUAAUGAGGCGAACCGGGGGAACUGAAACAUCUAAGUACCCCGAGGAAAAGAAAUCAACCGAGAUUCCCCCAGUAGCGGCGAGCGAACGGGGAGGAGCCCAGAGCCUGAAUCAGUGUGUGUGUUAGUGGAAGCGUCUGGAAAGGCGCGCGAUACAGGGUGACAGCCCCGUACACAAAAAUGCACAUGCUGUGAGCUCGAUGAGUAGGGCGGGACACGUGGUAUCCUGUCUGAAUAUGGGGGGACCAUCCUCCAAGGCUAAAUACUCCUGACUGACCGAUAGUGAACCAGUACCGUGAGGGAAAGGCGAAAAGAACCCCGGCGAGGGGAGUGAAAAAGAACCUGAAACCGUGUACGUACAAGCAGUGGGAGCCUCUUUAUGGGGUGACUGCGUACCUUUUGUAUAAUGGGUCAGCGACUUAUAUUCUGUAGCAAGGUUAACCGAAUAGGGGAGCCGAAGGGAAACCGAGUCUUAACUGGGCGUUAAGUUGCAGGGUAUAGACCCGAAACCCGGUGAUCUAGCCAUGGGCAGGUUGAAGGUUGGGUAACACUAACUGGAGGACCGAACCGACUAAUGUUGAAAAAUUAGCGGAUGACUUGUGGCUGGGGGUGAAAGGCCAAUCAAACCGGGAGAUAGCUGGUUCUCCCCGAAAGCUAUUUAGGUAGCGCCUCGUGAAUUCAUCUCCGGGGGUAGAGCACUGUUUCGGCAAGGGGGUCAUCCCGACUUACCAACCCGAUGCAAACUGCGAAUACCGGAGAAUGUUAUCACGGGAGACACACGGCGGGUGCUAACGUCCGUCGUGAAGAGGGAAACAACCCAGACCGCCAGCUAAGGUCCCAAAGUCAUGGUUAAGUGGGAAACGAUGUGGGAAGGCCCAGACAGCCAGGAUGUUGGCUUAGAAGCAGCCAUCAUUUAAAGAAAGCGUAAUAGCUCACUGGUCGAGUCGGCCUGCGCGGAAGAUGUAACGGGGCUAAACCAUGCACCGAAGCUGCGGCAGCGACGCUUAUGCGUUGUUGGGUAGGGGAGCGUUCUGUAAGCCUGCGAAGGUGUGCUGUGAGGCAUGCUGGAGGUAUCAGAAGUGCGAAUGCUGACAUAA